UACGUAGGGACCGAGCGUUGUCCGGAAUCAUUGGGCGUAAAGAGCGUGUAGGCGGCCAAUUAAGUCCUGCGUGAAAUCUCGGGGCUCAACCCCGAGCGGUCGUGGGAAACUGGUUGGCUAGAGUGCGGGAGAGGAGAGUGGAAUUCCUGGUGAGCGGUGAAAUGCGCAGAUAUCAGGAAGAACACCCGUGGCGAAAGGCGGCUCUCUGGAACGC
rnacentral:rRNA from 1 species